UACGGGGGGGGCAAGCGUUGUUCGGAAUUACUGGGCGUAAAGGGCUCGUAGGCGGCCAACUAAGUCAGACGUGAAAUCCCCAGGCUCAACCUGGGAACUGCGUCUGAUACUGGAUGGCUUGAAUCCGGGAGAGGGAUGCAGAAUUCCAGGUGUAGCGGCGAAAUGCGUAGAUAUCUGGAGGAAUACCGGUGGCGAAGGCGGCAUCCUGGACCGGCAUUGACGCUGAGGAGCGAAAGCCAGGGGAGCAAACGGG
rnacentral:rRNA from 1 species